rnacentral:rRNA from 1 species
ACUCCUGCGGGAGGCAGCAGUGGGGAAUUUUGGACACUGGGCGAAAGCCUGAUCCAGCCAUGCCGCGUGCAGGAUGAAGGCCUUCGGGUUGUAAACUGCUUUUGUACGGAACGAAACGGCCUUUUCUAAUAAAGAGGGCUAAUGACGGUACCGUAAGAAUAAGCACCGGCUAACUACGUGCCAGCAGCCGCGGUAAUACGUAGGGUGCAAGCGUUAAUCGGAAUUACUGGGCGUAAAGCGUGCGCAGGCGGUUAUGUAAGACAGUUGUGAAAUCCCCGGGCUCAACCUGGGAACUGCAUCUGUGACUGCAUAGCUAGAGUACGGUAGAGGGGGAUGGAAUUCCGCGUGUAGCAGUGAAAUGCGUAGAUAUGCGGAGGAACACCGAUGGCGAAGGCAAUCCCCUGGACCUGUACUGACGCUCAUGCACGAAAGCGUGGGGAGCAAACAGGAUUAGAAACCCCUGUAGUCCCAUG